rnacentral:rRNA from 1 species
AUUGAACGCUGGCGGCAGGCUUAACACAUGCAAGUCGAACGGUAACAGGAGAAAGCUUGCUUUCUUGCUGACGAGUGGCGGACGGGUGAGUAAUGCUUGGGAAUCUGGCUUAUGGAGGGGGAUAACGACGGGAAACUGUCGCUAAUACCGCGUAGAGUCGAGAGACGAAAGUGCGGGACCGCAAGGCCGCAUGCCAUGAGAUGAGCCCAAGUGGGAUUAGGUAGUUGGUGGGGUAAAGGCCUACCAAGCCGACGAUCUCUAGCUGGUCUGAGAGGAUGACCAGCCACACCAGGACUGAGACACGGCCCGGACUCCUACGGGAGGCAGCAGUGGGGAAUAUUGCGCAAUGGGGGCAACCCUGACGCAGCCAUGCCGCGUGAAUGAAGAAGGCCUUCGGGUUGUAAAGUUCUUUCGGUGACGAGGAAGGCGUGAUGUUUAAUAGGCAUCACGAUUGACGUUAAUCACAGAAGAAGCACCGGCUAACUCCGUGCCAGCAGCCGCGGUAAUACGGAGGGUGCGAGCGUUAAUCGGAAUAACUGGGCGUAAAGGGCACGCAGGCGGCUAUUUAAGUGAGGUGUGAAAUCCCCGGGCUUAACCUGGGAAUUGUAUUUCAGACUGGGUAGCUAGAGUACUUUAGGGAGGGGUAGAAUUCCACGUGUAGCGGUGAAAUGCGUAGAGAUGUGGAGGAAUACCGAAGGCGAAGGCAGCCCCUUGGGAAUGUACUGACGCUCAUGUGCGAAAGCGUGGGGAGCAAACAGG